rnacentral:sRNA from 1 species
AGGUGCCCAGUGUGCCAGCACUGAAGGAAGGCCUGGCUGCUUGGCAAGCAUUGGUGAUGCUGUGACAUUGAGUUCCUGGGGAGGCUGCCUGCUCAGGGUUAGAGGAAAAAGGAAGGACUGGCCGCAGAAUGGGGUGGGGAGCUGGAGAAGAGAAGGGCCAAAAGUGUCAGACUGUGGGGACGAGGACCUGAAGGAGGCCCAUGAGACCUCAGGCAUGGGCCCUGGAACUCUGCCUUUUUGAAGCCUGUUGACAAUCUCACCCUAAUUUAACCCUUUGUGGAAUUCUUCCAUGAGAUGCAGUUGCCAACGUCAGGCUUCCUAGAGAAUUGAGCCUGCCCACUCUGUUAUGAAGUCUACCCAGAAGAGCUGGCAGAGUGGGCCCCUUCAUUGGGACUGCAGCAACACUGACCGAAGCAAAUCCUUCUCUUGGAAGAAACAAACUCAUUCCUCACACCUGCCUCACCCUGCUCCCACCGCCACCCCCUGCACCACACGCCAGCCCUUAAUAAAAACUAAAACUGAUGUCAUUGUAA